rnacentral:misc_RNA from 1 species
UUUCCGUUGGUGAACCAGCGGAAGGAUCAUUACAGAGAUCAUGCCCUCACGGGUAGAUCUCCCACCCUGUGUAUUAUAUACCUUUUGUUGCUUUGGCGGGCCGCCUUCGGGCGCUCGGCUUCGGCUGAGGUGCGCCUGCCAGAGGACCCCCAACUCUGUGUUUAGUGUUGUCUGAGUCUUAUUUAAUACGUUAAAACUUUCAACAACGGAUCUCUUGGUUCUGGCAUCGAUGAAGAACGCAGC